GCUCGACCAGUUUUGCCUUUAGACUUGGUGAUGAUCCACUGAAUGAAUUGUUCCCAAUUCUGGUAGUAGCCUUGGGUAACUCCAAUCCACUAUAAAGUGUGAUGUCUCAGUAAGGAGGUGAAUGAACAUGAGAAGAAUAGAUGAUCCCUAGUCUCCUUAUCUUGUUGGCAAAGUGCACAUAUGUUAUCCACUGUGAGUGUCCACUGUUCCAGUCUAUUCUUUGUGGGCAGCCUGUUCUGUAGUAUAAGCCAGAGAUUAAAGACUGCCUUAGGUCGAGCAUAGUUUUGGAUAGUUAGGUUCUUCCACUCUACUCUUGGCAAUUGUCCAACCUGUUGUAAGUAGAAUUUCUUGAUAGAACAAAC
rnacentral:lncRNA from 1 species